rnacentral:rRNA from 1 species
UACGGAGGGUGCAAGCGUUGUUCGGAAUUAUUGGGCGUAAAGCGCGUGUAGGCGGUUUUUUAAGUCAGAUGUGAAAGGUACCGGCUCAACCGGUGACAUGCAUUUGAAACUGAAAGACUUGAGUAUUGGAGAGGCAAGUGGAAUUCCCGGUGUAGCGGUGAAAUGCAUAGAUAUCACGAGGAACUCCGAUUGCGCAGGCAGCUUACUAAGCCAUAACUGACGCUGAGACGCGAAAGCGUGGGGAGCAAACAGG